CAAUGGCGCUCCAUCUCGCGCGACCGUUCCACCCCGCCGGCCUCCCGCCGCCGCCGCGCCGCCGCGCUCGCGCCCGACCACAUUCCCUCCGCCCCACCGCCGAAGCGCGGCCCCCGUGCUUCAGGAGGCCCUACACGUCCGUCCUGGUGGUCCCCACGGGGGUCGGCGCCGCCGUCGGGGGCUUCGCCGGCGACGCCCUCCCCGUGGCGCGCGCCCUCGCCGCCGUCUCCGACUGCGUCAUCUCCCACCCCAACGUGCUCAACGCCGCGAUGCUUUACUGGCCGAUGCCCAACACGCUCUACGUGGAGGGAUACGCCCUCGACCAGUUCGCCGAGGGCGCCUGGGCUCUCCAGCCAGUUCACCAGAACAAGGUAGGCUUGGUGCUGGACUCCGGGAUCGAGGAAGAGCUCCAGCUCCGCCACUUGCAGGUCGCGGAUGCGGCGAGGGCUUCGCUCGGCCUCCCUGUUGUAGAGUACACUGUCACGGACGCUCCUUUGGAGAUCAAGACAUGGUUCGAUCCAAAGUGUGGGAAAUCAACUGGGAGCGUUGGGAACUCUGAUUCUCUUUUAAGAGCGGUCGACGCGCUAGUGAACCAUGCUGGCGUGAAUGCUGUGGCAGUUGUUGCGCGCUUUCCAGACGAUGAUCCUGAAGAUUCAGAUUGCUAUCGGGAAGGGAAGGGAGUUGAUCUGUUAGCAGGAGUUGAGGCAAUCAUCAGUCACCUAAUUGUGAAAGAAUUCAAAAUCCCUGCUGCCCACGCUCCGGCAGUGUUGUCCCCACCACUCAGCCCAUCAGUGUCCCCAAGAUCUGCUGCUGAAGAGAUUGGUUAUACCUUUCUACCAUGUGUGCUUGCUGGGUUAAGCAGUGCUCCUCAGUAUGUGACAAGGAGGCAGGGAACCUCUGACAGUGGUUGCAUAGUGGCUAAUGAUGUUGAUAGUGUGAUUCUUCCGAGAGAUGCUUGUGGAGGUGAUGGCGCACUUGCCUUUUCUCGAACUGCAAGAAAGAAUAAGCCCUUAAUCAUUACCGUUCAGGAAAAUGAGACGGUGCUUGAUGACACCCCUGAUAAAUUCAGUAUAGAUGCGCUCAAUGUCCAGAACUACUGGGAAGCUAUUGGAGUUAUUGCUGCUCACAAGGCAGGCAUCAAUCCAAAUGCUCUAAGAAGACAAGGAGUUGAUCAUCUUAAGAGCCAUCAACGAUUGUAUUCUGCCCGAUCUUCUGGUCGCCGGCCAUAUGCCUCUUCUCCAAUGCAAGAUAAAGUAUAUGUACACCAGUUAGUUUGACAAUUUAGUACAGGAGAGAUCAGUUUUAACAAAUAGGAGCGUGCAAAUUUUGAAGUCCCAGUUUCUGAGACGGGGUGGUGCGAUGCUCUCCUUCCACCACACAAGUGUUAUGCUGAUUUCUGAGAGCAUUUAUGUCUUGAUGUGCCAUUGUGCGCUUUCAAAUCGUCGGUUCUCUGAUGUUGCUGUCUGGCGUUGAGUGACAUAUGCAUCUACUCAGAAUACACAUGUUUGCCAGAGUGAGUAGGUGCUGCUUUUGCUUGCUUGCUCCAACUACCAAUCAAACUGGACAUUCAACUUUUGAUGAGGUGCAGCUUAUGACUUGCUGUUUGCCAGAUGCAUGUUUGUUUAUGCUAGGUUGUUGUGUUGACAUUGGUGCAUAUCUACCUGAUUUGUACUUCACAAGCAGAUUUUGUGGCUGUAAAUAGUAGUAAGAUCUUC